UUGCUUGUUUUAUUGUGCUCUUUGCAUUAGGGGAUAUUAUGUAUACCUGUGGAAAAUAUUAGUUGUUACUGAUAAUUCUGUUAUUGAUCCCUUGGAUGCCAAAGGAUGUGGAUUCUUUUAAGUAUUUAGGCAACUACCAUAUGCUGUUUUAAUCUGGCCUAAAGUACCUGUGCAGUUUAUAAUUUCUGGAUAAUUCUUUUGAUUUUCCCCAUCCCAAGCACUAUUAGCUCAUAAUUUAACAUAUGUAGCUUCCCCCCCUUCUUAAUAUGUUUAAACUCCUGAGUAACUUGCAGUUAGAAUACACUACAACAUCCAUCUAUUGUCUGUUACAGCAAUCUUGUAAAAUAUGCUUGGGUUUUAAUAACACAUUUCUCUUGCUCUCAUUACUGGCAAAUCUUUUACAAAUAUUCUUCAAAGUCAAAGUACUGUUCUUCUGGUGGCAGGCUAUAAAAUUUCUUUUCUGGCAGGCCUUUGGAGAGGAAGGUUUUUAGACCAAACCAAAAAAUGCUGUUUUUUGUAGUUUAACAGGUUUGAAUUUAUUGGUUUUAACCAUAUUUUAAUAAGUCCCAUAUUUAAUUCUGUUUUAAUGUUUAUAUGCUUUAGGUUCCAAUGUAUACACUGUGUGAUUUUUAAUGUUAGCUGCUUUAUGUGUCUCCUUUGAGAGAUAGAAAGCAGGAGAUAUAUAUAAUUUUAAAUGUAAUUGUUUUCAUAAAUGAAAUAUUUAUAGCACCUUACCAUGUUCUAUUUCUUUUUCCUCA